AUUAAUAAUUUUAUUUUUAACACAAUAAAUAUUGGUUUAUAAUAAAUAUAAUGAUUUUAUUAUUUUUAAAGAAAAAAUUGAAUUAAUGAUAGAGAAUAGUAAUGAGAAUGAAAAAUUUAAGAUUUUUCAAAGAAAAAUUUAAUUUUUGUACCUUUUGUAUCAGGGUUUAUUAAAAAUACAGGAUUAUUUCUUGGUUCCCGAAUUUAGAAGAGCUAAAAUUAAAUAUAUUUUUAUGUUAAAUAAUGAUUUAUAAUUUAAUUUUGGGAGUGAAACGUUAUUCGUUUUUAAAUAUAUCUGGUUUUCUAAGAAAUGAAUUUAAUUAAGAACUUGAAUACGAUAAUAGAAAUUUAAUUCUUUUAUUGGUUUGGGAUUUUAUAUUAGACGGGAUUAGCUGUUUAAUAAAAACUUAAAAAUUAUUAAUUUUAAUUUUGAUAUAGAAUUAUAAGUUUUCACUUUUAAAAAUAUGUUAUAGUAAGGAUUUUUUAAUUGGUAUUUAGAUUGAUUUUAAGUUAUUUAUUAGAAUUUUGAUUUUAAUUAUGAAAAUUAAUUAAUAAUGAUAGAAUUAGUAUAAUUGGUUGUUUAAUUAAUAAUAAUUUUAAGAUAUAAAUAAGGAAUUCGGCAAAAGGUUUUUCACCUGUUUAAUAAAAACAUGUCCUUUUGAUUUUUAUUUAAGGUCAGGCCUGCCCAAUGAAUUUUAAAUGGCCGCAGUAUUUUGACUGUGCAAAGGUAGCAUAAUCAUUAGUUCUUUAAUUGAGAGCUGGAAUGAAGGGUUAAAUGAAAAAACAACUGUCUCAUUUUUAAUAUUAGAAUUUUAUUUUUAAGUUAAAAAGCUUAAAUUUAAUAGGAAGACGAGAAGACCCUAUAGAGUUUUAUUAAUUAGUUGUUAGUUGGAGGAGGGUUUAUUUAAACUAGCUUUUUAAUUAAUUUGGUUGGGGUGAUUGAACAAUUAAAGUAACUUUUUUUUAUUCAUUACACAAAUUGGUGAAAGUUUGAUCCUGAUUUUCAGAUUAAAAGAUUAAAUUACCUUAGGGAUAACAGCGUAAUUUUUCUGGAGAGUUCUAAUCGAUAGAAAAGUUUGCGACCUCGAUGUUGGAUUAGAGUUUAAUUGAGGUGCAGCUGCUUCAAAAUUAAGUCUGUUCGACUUUUAAAAUUCUACAUGAUCUGAGUUUAGACCGGCGUGAGCCAGGUUGGUUUCUAUCUCUUAUUGGUUAAAAUAUUUUAGUACGAAAGGACCAAAUAUUUAAAUUAUAUUUUUAUUUUUGAAUUGAUAAUA
rnacentral:rRNA from 1 species